rnacentral:rRNA from 1 species
UGGGGGAUAUUGCGCAAUGGGGGAAACCCUGACGCAGCAACGCCGCGUGAAGGAAGAAGGUCUUCGGAUUGUAAACUUUUGUCUUGUGGGAAGAAAAAUGACGGUACCACAGGAGGAAGCCACGGCUAACUACGUGCCAGCAGCCGCGGUAAUACGUAGGUGGCGAGCGUUGUCCGGAAUUACUGGGUGUAAAGGGUGCGUAGGCGGGAGAGCAAGUCAGGUGUGAAAACUAUGGGCUUAACCCAUAGCCUGCACUUGAAACUGCACUUCUUGAGUGAUGGAGAGGUAAGUGGAAUUCCUAGUGUAGCGGUGAAAUGCGUAGAUAUUAGGAGGAACACCAGUGGCGAAGGCGACUUACUGGACAUUAACUGACGCUGAGGCACGAAAGCAUGGGGAGCAAACA